AUUGAACGCUGGCGGCAUGCCUUACACAUGCAAAUCGAACGGUAACGGGCCUUCGGGUGCCGACGAGUGGCGAACGGGUGAGUAAUACAUCGGAACGUGCCCGAUCGUGGGGGAUAACGAGGCGAAAGCUUUGCUAAUACCGCAUACGAUCUACGGAUGAAAGCAGGGGACCGCAAGGCCUUGCGCGGACGGAGCGGCCGAUGGCAGAUUAGGUAGUUGGUGGGAUAAAAGCUUACCGAGCCGACGAUCUGUAGCUGGUCUGAGAGGAUGAUCAGCCACACUGGGACUGAGACACGGCCCAGACUCCUACGGGAGGCAGCAGUGGGGAAUUUUGGACAAUGGGCGCAAGCCUGAUCCAGCCAUGCCGCGUGCAGGAUGAAGGCCUUCGGGUUGUAAACUGAUUUUGUACGGAACGAAAAGCCUUCUUUUAAUACAGGAGGGUCAUGACGGUACCGUAAGAAUAAGCACCGGCUAACUACGUG
rnacentral:rRNA from 1 species